rnacentral:rRNA from 1 species
UAGGGAAUCUUCGGCAAUGGACGAAAGUCUGACCGAGCAACGCCGCGUGAGUGAAGAAGGUUUUCGGAUCGUAAAACUCUGUUGUUAGAGAAGAACAAGGACGUUAGUAACUGAACGUCCCCUGACGGUAUCUAACCAGAAAGCCACGGCUAACUACGUGCCAGCAGCCGCGGUAAUACGUAGGUGGCAAGCGUUGUCCGGAUUUAUUGGGCGUAAAGCGAGCGCAGGCGGUUUCUUAAGUCUGAUGUGAAAGCCCCCGGCUCAACCGGGGAGGGUGAUUGGAAACUGGGAGACUUGAGGGCAGAAGAGGAGAGUGGAAUUCCAUGUGUAGCGGUGAAAUGCGUAGAUAUAUGGAGGAACACCAGUGGCGAAGGCGGCUCUCUGGUCUGUAACUGACGCUGAGGCUCGAAAGCGUGGGGAGCAAACAGG